UACGUAGGGUGCAAGCGUUGUCCGGAAUCAUUGGGCGUAAAGCGCGCGUAGGUGGUCAUGUAAGUCCGCUGUGAAAGUCGGGGGCUCAACCCUCGGAUGCCGGUGGAUACUGUCGGGCUUGAGUACGGAAGAGGCGAGUGGAAUUCCUGGUGUAGCGGUGAAAUGCGCAGAUAUCAGGAGGAACACCAAUUGCGAAGGCAGCUCGCUGGGACGUUACUGACGCUGAGACGCGAAAGCGUGGGGAGCAAACAGG
rnacentral:rRNA from 1 species